rnacentral:rRNA from 1 species
UACGUAGGGUGCAAGCGUUGUCCGGAAUUAUUGGGCGUAAAGAGCGCGCAGGCGGCUGGGCAAGUCCGAUGUGAAAGCCUCCGGCUUAACUGGAAAAUUGCAUCGGAAACUGCUCGGCUUGAAGGUGGGAGAGGGUAGCGGAAUUCCCGGUGUAGUGGUGAAAUGCGUAGAUAUCGGGAGGAACACCAGUGGCGAAGGCGGCUACCUGGCCCACUCUUGACGCUGAGGCGCGAAAGCUAGGGGAGCAAACGGG